CGCAGUAUACAAGUGAAUUCAAUCGUGUGUUGUCCUUAUUGAGCAAUUAUUUAAAAUGACUGCAACUAGAAGACAGCUUUUCAAUGAAGCCGAAAAGAUUUGUCUGCAGGAGUUAGUGAUCAAAUACAAAUUAAAUUCGAUAGCCACUACGGGGAGCGCAGUGGCUAAAAAAAUCCCUGGCUUAGCCUAACAGAGGAGUACAAUGCCAUAGAAACGAAUUCAAAAAGUACUGAAGCUCAACUUAAAAAAUGUUGGGACCAGGCGUAAAAGUAUGUUGGCCUUAGAGAAAAGGGAAAGGAUGAGGACCGGUGGUGGUUCCUCUAAUGCUUACAUACCUAGUACCUGUACUAGAGGAUGCUCUCGCUGAACAGACAGAUGUGGAGUUGGCAGAUGUAAUCGACAGUGAUAACAUACCUUGUAGUGCAGUAAUCCAAAUUGAUGAUGUGAUGUUGUUAGACAUGUCAUCUCAAGUACCAGCAGUUGAACAUGUGUCAGAAAGAGAAAACAUUAUAAACACUCCUCCACAUUUGACAGAGUCCCGGUUGACUGAUUAUAGUGCAGCUCCAUCACAAGAGUCAAGAAAUAUACGGACCAGAGUGAUUCAAGAAGAAUUUCAUAUCCGUCAACAAACAUAUGGAAAAUCUCAGAAAAGGGAAGUGGAGCUGCAUAAGCUCAGAAUAGCUGAGAAGGAGUGGAUGGUGAAGGCAGCAGAGGAGAUUUUUCUCAAAGCCAAAACUGAGAGAGAAGCUGCAGAGGAACUUCUCCUCUGCAAUAGAGCCAAAAGAGAAGAGGCUGAAUUAAGUUUAAGAAUAUUUAAAAAUAAAAAAUUUUGAAAAUUAAUUUAGUAUUAGGUUGUAUGUAUAUGUUUAUUUCAAUUCUAUUGUGUAAUAAAAAACUUUAUUGCUUA